AUACAUUGUCUAAGUAUGUUGUAUGUGAUAACAUAUUCUGAAGUCAUUUUUGACAUCCCCCUUUUACUGCAAAUAAAAGACAUAUACACUAUUUUUUUCACUUCUUAAUUUUGUCACUUUUAUGUAUACAAUAUUUAAAAAAUCUCAAGCUGUUUAUAAAUUUUGUGAUAUUAUGUCUGAAUGGGUGUGAAUACUUUUCUGUUUGUAAAUUAUAAAUAAAAAAGGAAAAGUCAUUGAAGGCUGUAUUAGAAUAAAGGUCCCCUCUUUUGAAAUUAACAUUUUGAAUACCGUAUCAUUCUAUGCAGUGAAGCCUUAUGAGCUUAGAAAGAAAGUUAUGCAGAUCAAACAAGAGAAUUACAAUUUCCACUCUUUCACUCUGACAAAAAAAUUUUAACGACAUGGGAUAACUAAGGAACAAUUAAUAAAAUAAAUGUUUUACCUUUUGUCAAGGAAUUACAUAUUUGUUAUCCUCUGUAGAAGUGGGUAAGAAAAAUGAAGUACAGAUUGAAAAGUUGGUAUUUUUUUUUCUGUUUUUGGAUUUGUUGCAGAUCACAUGGUCCACUUAAAGCAAAUAAAAAGUUCCCCUUUCAGACUUAGCAAUUUAUAGUCAGAUGAUGUUAAAUGUCACCUAUUUCUAUGGCCAAUGUGUGGCAGGGUGUCUAGUGGCUAGCUGAAUUUAAUUUCUCCAACGUCCAGUACCCAUUUAGUUUGGUGGACUCAGGAGCAUCUUGUAAAUACCAAAAUUUAAAAACCCAGUCUAGACCAAGAUUCAAAUCUGAGAACCUUUGGUUCAGAAGCCAAGGGCUUUACCUCUUAACGACGAUGCCCUUUCCUAGUCCCCAUGUUUCAAUCUAACAUAUUUCCCCAUAUUUUGUCAAUUGACUUGUAUGUUUGGACUUGAAAGAAUAUGUUCAACAAAAUGCUAAUUAAAUUAUUUAGAUAUCAUUUCUAAGUUUUUCUAAGUUAGCCAACAUAAAACACAGUGACUUGGGCUGAAGUUAUUUGCCGUUCUUACAACUGAAGCUAUAUAGUUUUUAUUUCAUUAUCUAUCCAUUGUUUCAUAAUUGAUGAGAAAAUGCAGCCUGUUAUAUUGUACCAAACUUCUCAGUUUAUUUGAUGUCCUGUGUUUUUUUAAGUAACAAAAAACCACAAAGCUAGUUGAUUUUAAUUUCGGUUUAAAUUAUUUGGCAGUAAAAAAAAAAGUUGCGUGUGUGAUGUUAACAAUUUUUUUUGUUAAAAUGUUUUCUUUGUAUCCACAAUAUUUUAUUUUCAUGUCAGAUAUUGCUUUCAGUUUUGACCUAAGUAAGAAAUCUUUUUUUAUCACUAGGAAGUUAAGGAGCUCCUAAAUCUUAGCAUUGGACAGAUGUUUUUAUCUUUGCAAGUUAGGUUGUGUCUCAAAGAAGCAGAUCUGUAUGAGGAAAAUAUUAGGUUAUAUUCUUAACAUUUUUGUCAUUUCGGUUCAUUUCUCAUUUUUCAUUAUUCUUUUAU